rnacentral:tRNA from 1 species
GGAGAGGUGGCCGAGUGGUUGAAGGCGCUCGUCUCGAAAACGAGUAAACGCAAGUUUCGCGGGUUCGAAUCCCGCCCUCUCCCCCC